rnacentral:rRNA from 1 species
UACGUAGGGUCCGAGCGUUGUCCGGAAUUAUUGGGCGUAAAGGGCUCGUAGGCGGUUCGUCACGUCGGGAGUGAAAACUCGGGGCUUAACCCCGAGCCUGCUUCCGAUACGGGCAGACUAGAGGUAGGCAGGGGAGAGCGGAAUUCCUGGUGUAGCGGUGGAAUGCGCAGAUAUCAGGAAGAACACCGGUGGCGAAGGCGGCUCUCUGGGCCUUACCUGACGCUGAGGAGCGAAAGCGUGGGUAGCGAACAGG